GACGAACGCUGGCGGCGUGCUUAACACAUGCAAGUCGAACGGAAAGGCCCUGCUUUUGUGGGGUGCUCGAGUGGCGAACGGGUGAGUAACACGUGAGUAACCUGCCCUUGACUUUGGGAUAACUUCAGGAAACUGGGGCUAAUACCGGAUAGGAGCUCCUGCUGCAUGGUGGGGGUUGGAAAGUUUCGGCGGUUGGGGAUGGACUGGCGGCUUAUCAGCUUGUUGGUGGGGUAGUGGCUUACCAAGGCUUUGACGGGUAGCCGGCCUGAGAGGGUGACCGGCCACAUUGGGACUGAGAUACGGCCCAGACUCCUACGGGAGGCAGCAGUGGGGAAUAUUGCACAAUGGGCGGAAGCCUGAUGCAGCAACGCCGCGUGCGGGAUGACGGCCUUCGGGUUGUAAACCGCUUUCGCCUGUGACGAAGCGUGAGUGACGGUAAUGGGUAAAGAAGCACCAGCUAACUACGUG
rnacentral:rRNA from 1 species